GCUUCGGUUGUGUGUGUGCUUGCACUGAUUUUUCAUUGAAGCGAGUGGCGAACUGGUGAGUAAACGUGGGAAAUCUGCCCAGAAGCAGGGGAUAACACUUGGAAACAGGUGCUAAUACCGUAUAACAACAAAGUCCGCAUGGGUUUUGUUUGAAAGGAGGCUUCGGCUAUCACUUCUGGAUGAUCCCGCGGCGUAUUAGUUAGUUGGUGAGGUAAAGGCCCCCCCAGACGAUGAUACGUAGCCGACCUGAGAGGGUAAUCGGCCACAUUGGGACUGAGACACGGCCCAAACUCCUACGGGAGGCAGCAGUAGGGAAUCUUCCACAAUGGACGAAAGUCUGAUGGAACCAUGCCGCGUGGGUGAAGAAAGGUUUCGGCUCCGAAAACUCUGUUGUUAAAGAAAAACACCUUUGAGAGUAACUGGUCCAGGGUUGACGGUAUUUAACCAGAAAAGCCACGGCUAACUACGUGCCAGCAGCCGCGGGUAAUACGUAGGUGGCAAGCGUUGUCCGGAUUUAUUGGGGCGUAAAGCGAGCGCAGGCGGGUUUUUUUAAGUCUGAUGUGAAAGCCUUCGGCUUAACCGGAAGAAGUGCAUCGGAAACUGGGA
rnacentral:rRNA from 2 species